CCCUCCAAGCUCCACUCUUGUGAACUUGAUGCAAAUUUUAACUCGGCGCAGAAAAUCCAGGCAGCGCUGAUGUCGCUUCUCUACAUGCAUACCUUGUAUCACUGAUUUUAACAUACACAACUAAAGAUAUCGUGACGUCAUGUUCCCGCGAAAUUUGUCGCCGCGUUUUUCAAUUGUUUCAAAAUUUAAAGAGACUGAAGAAAUAUGGCGCACAGUGGGUGACAGUGGUGACAGAAUUUUCAGGUUUUUCAAUAACUUCUGCUGAUGAGAUGCAGCAACAGGAGGAGAAGAUAGAAAUUAAAAGGAGAAAGAAAAUAUGCAGCAUCAGAGGGUGUAUUAACGAAAACAGCAGGAUGUUCUUCUUCCCCCAAGAGAGAAAGGAUAAGAAGAGGAUGGCACAGUAGGUGGAAGUAUGUGACAACCCAAAGUCUGUGCUUCCACCUGAAAACUGAAAUUCCAGGUGGUCUGUAGCAGCUACUUUAAAGAAAAAUGCUUCAUGAGGAAAAGAUUAACAUCAGCAGUUCCAACACUGAACUUAUUUGAGGCUGUAAUAAAUAUUGCAUAUCAGAGGCUGCCUC